rnacentral:rRNA from 1 species
AUACGGAGGGGGUUAGCGUUGUUCGGAAUUACUGGGCGUAAAGCGCACGUAGGCGGAUUGGAAAGUUGGGGGUGAAAUCCCAGGGCUCAACCCUGGAACUGCCUCCAAAACUAACAGUCUAGAGUUCGAGAGAGGUGAGUGGAAUUCCAAGUGUAGAGCUGAAAUUCGUAGAUAUUUGGAGGAACACCAGUGGCGAAGGCGGCUCACUGGCUCGAUACUGACGCUGAGGUGCGAAAGCGUGGGGAGCAAACAGGAUUAGAAACCCGAGUAGUCC